CCUACGGGAGGCAGCAGUAAGGAAUAUUGGACAAUGGACGCAAGUCUGAUCCAGCCAUGCCGCGUGAAGGAUUAAGGCCCUCUGGGUUGUAAACUUCUUUUAUAGGGGACGAAAAAAGGGCUUUCUAGCUCGACUGACGGUACCCUAUGAAUAAGCACCGGCUAACUCCGUGCCAGCAGCCGCGGUAAUACGGAGGGUGCAAGCGUUAUCCGGAUUCACUGGGUUUAAAGGGUGCGUAGGCGGGCAUUUAAGUCAGUGGUGAAAUCUUCGAGCUCAACUCGGAAACUGCCAUUGAUACUAUUUGUCUUGAAUAUUGUGGAGGUGAGCGGAAUAUGUCAUGUAGCGGUGAAAUGCUUAGAUAUGACAUAGAACACCGAUUGCGAAGGCAGCUCGCUACACAAAUAUUGACGCUGAGGCACGAAAGCGUGGGGAUCAAACAGGAUUAGAUACCCUGGUAGUCCACGCCCUAAACUAUGGAUACUCGACAUUUGCGAUACACAGUAAGUGUGUGAGAGAAGANAUAAGUAUCCUAACCGUGGUAGUUACGACGACGAGUUAGUAACGUUACGAAGAAGUAGAGGCGNGAGACGNGCCGACGGACGACGACGAGGGAGGAGG
rnacentral:rRNA from 1 species